UGGGGAAUAUUGGACAAUGGGCGAAAGCCUGAUCCAGCCAUGCCGCGUGUGUGAAGAAGGUCUUCGGAUUGUAAAGCACUUUAAGUUGGGAGGAAGGGCAUUAACCUAAUACGUUAGUGUUUUGACGUUACCGACAGAAUAAGCACCGGCUAACUCUGUGCCAGCAGCCGCGGUAAUACAGAGGGUGCAAGCGUUAAUCGGAAUUACUGGGCGUAAAGCGCGCGUAGGGGGUUUGUUAAGUUGGAUGUGAAAUCCCCGGGCUCAACCUGGAACUGCAUUCAAAACUGACUGACUAGAGUAUGGUAGAGGGUGGUGGAAUUUCCUGUGUAGCGGUGAAAUGCGUAGAUAUAGGAAGGAACACCAGUGGCGAAGGCGACCACCUGGACUAAUACUGACACUGAGGUGCGAAAGCGUGGGGAGCAAACA
rnacentral:rRNA from 1 species